rnacentral:tRNA from 1 species
GAAAUAUGAAACCCGAGAAUAAGCUUCUAACUUAAAUCUUAAGCAGUGAAAAUCUGUUUAUAUUUCU